AAACAUCUAAUGGACGUCCAUUGAACAUCCAUCAUAGAGAUACAUAACCUCUAAUGGACGUCCAUGUAUCAUCCAAUGGAUCUCCAUUGAACAUCCAAAUGUCCGCUUAUAGCACCUCCACUGGAUGUAUUUUAGACGUAAUGAUCGAGAUUUUAUGGAGGUUAUGUGGAGAUUAUAUGGAGCUACUGAAGCUCUUACGGAUACGUAAUGGAGAUCUAAUGGAUGAUUUUUGUACGUUUUAAGGACUUCCAUGGACGUUAUAAAGCUCUCGUAGAUGUAUGAUAUAAACUAUAAUUAAGGUUGGAAGCACACAGAAUUUUGUGAAGUGAUUUUAUUUAAUAUGUAAAAGGAGCUAGUACAUAGAUGUGCACAAAUAUAAUUAUAAAUAUAAAUACAAAAAAGUGCAUACAAAUUAAAGUGUAAAUGUAAAUAUAAAUAUUGGCUGGCGUCUUCGAAGAACACUCUUUUUGGAACUCACGUUGCUGCUGUUGGACAAACCUACGCAGAUACUACUGUAUCUGAACGCUGUGAUGUGGUUGGACAAUUACCUGCAAAAAUUGGAAAAUACAUCUAAAAAAUCUUGCUUUGGAGUGCCGGAACCAUUCCAUAACCCUUCGUUGAAUCUUUCCUUGAUCAGAAUCUGACACAUUGCGGAGAACGAAUCCUAGAAAAAUAAUUUCUAUGAUUGUGUAAUGCUGCUUUCCCACGUCGACCUUCCCAGUUGUACUGUUCCGCCAAUCCGUUUGAGAUUAGUUUAUAGAGGCUUCUUUUCACCGCAUCAUCCAUGUUAUUUCCUCCUAUGGAUUUCACAUAAGCGCCCUGCAAAGUUGAAAUAUAUAUUAUAUCAUACGAGUGAAGCACAAUAAAGUACAUUU